CUUUACAUUAGGGCAAAGUAAAACUGAGAGGUGGAUAAUAGGGGAGAGAAAUCAGUGGAAGCCUACUGAUGCGGGCCGCAAUCCCACCUUUACAAUGUGGAACCAAUCACCAUGCGCGACCCUGUUAAAGUGGAAUGGAGGCCUGGCAACAGAAACUUAGCGAUGGCUGGAGCCGCCCGUCCUUCAUAAUUACUGUUUUCCUCGCCUCUGCAGCCGCCCCCUUCCCGUCUCUCCUCGAUGGUCGAGUGAAUAGCUUGUUUUGAUGCUUGUGACGCGCCAGCACACCUGCUAUAUGGGAAAGAGGGGGCUUCCUUUGCCCCUUAGGGCAGCAGGUGAAUGAACCCGUCCACCCUCGUUGCUCUGUACAUUCCCCCGGUCCUCCUCCAGAUGGAUCCGCACCCUCACAUCUCCGACAGCGCAUAUUAUUAUUGUCUACUCUUGACAAACUCAAAAUGUCGCCUUCGUGAUUCUGAAAGUUGCUGACUUGAUUACGGCCAAAAGAUCUUAACUUUGUUGAGAAACAGAGUCUGAGUCUAUGAGACACCUAACCAAAUGUUUUCUCUCUUUCCAUCCGGCCAGGGUUAGCAGUCCCCAUACUACCAUGCAGCCAAGCUGAAUCCACAACGCUUGUCAUUUACAGGAGAUGUGCAAUGAGACUAAAACACGCGGGGACUGAAGUGUGUUGCUGCAGCCUCAGAUAUAGUGCGCCUGAGUUCAGGUGCAAGCUGUUUGCAACAGAGAAUUGUGGCGCCGUCACGAUUGUUUGUCUCGCAUCGCUGCGCGUAUUUCACAACGUUGUGUAAUUUUCAGGGCUGCGUCACCGCCCGCAUGUUGUUCAUAUAACAGUGAACCUAAUCACAUAGCGGAGCCCUGGUGUCACAGUCGAAUCACUUCUGAACCCUGAGAAAAUUACUCAUCAACUCCGCGGCCUGAUGUUUGAGUGUUUGGGAUUUCUGUGUGUGCAUCGGAGUGUUCCCGGGCCUUUUUCAAUACUCACUCUUGGUCAGCCUCCGGCUUUUUUCUUCUUCUUCUUCUUCUGAGAAAUUCCCAGUCUCCCAUUUCUCUGCGCGACACCGGGCGUCGACCACUCCGGCUGCUCCCUACGCUGCAGCAAACUCGCCGGCCCGGCCCUCAGCGGAGCUACAGCAAACAGGAACAGCUUCAUUAUCUCCUCCGCUGGUGCAGGAUGGCUCGGAGACUGAACAGCUGGGGGCCCGAUCCAGCAACCUUUCUUUGGCACACUGCACCACCGUGCUGCACCGGGCUGAGCGGGUCUUUCUCACGUCGACACCUCCCACCGCCGACGUGGUAUCGUCGCAGUGCUGUGAACUUGAUCGCGCGCUAUACGAGUGGCGUGCACCGCCGUGGGUCAGAUAGCACACCGGGAGCAGUGUGCUGUUUGUAGCGCAGCCCAGCAGUAAAUCGUGUUUUUUGGCCGUGUGCUGGGGAUGCAGCCUCUGGCAGCUCCCAGACGGUCUUUGGCUCUGGUUCCCUUCUCUUAGCGCCACUCUCUAAUUUCAGAGCCGGGACCCUGCCUACUACUGUGUCUUUACCGCAUUCCCACAAACCAGAGACGGACAGUCUGCCUGCAUGUCUGGCUGCUCGCUCUCCAUCUCACUGUCUUUUCUCCCUUUUCUACGUCUCUCCGCUUUUGUCCAGCGCUCUCUCGCUCUCGCGCCCCGUUUCUUCGCCUGCCGUCACAAACUCUGCCUUUUCCUGUGGCUCCUGGUCGCUCGUUCCCGGAGCUUGCCCCCUUCGCCUUUCCUCCGUCUCUGUCUGGUGCUGUGCCUUCAGGAUUAUAGGUCUGCAGUCUCACUCACAGCAUCUAAAUCAUGUUGCACGCUGCCACUGUCUCUCGUCAGCUCCCCCCCUCCCCCUUCUGCGAGUCUCUCUGCAUUUCUUUAGCACCCACUGUGGGCUUGCUUUUUGGCCGUACAUACCCAUGCUAUUUCCAUUUUAAUUGCCCGAGUUUUGCAGGGCCCUGGGAUAUAUUCUUUGCACAUAUAUUUUAUAGUUUUCUGGCCAAAAGCCACCACUUCAAGUCGGGCCUGACCACUAAUAUACUCCUGCAUGGACCAGUUCAUUAUCAGCGGGGAGGUGUGAGCUUAUUUCAGAAGGUUAUGAUGGGGUCAAUGUACAGUUCAUGAAAUGGGGGUCUGUGUUUUAUUGGGACCUGCAGUUUAACUAAUACAUGGUGCUAAGUAGCCCUGGUGCCACCCUAAUUUUGACUGCUAUUAAAUCAGUCUUCUGCGUGGAACAGUAAACCAGAUGUACUGUAAAUUACUCCAGAGGCCGCGAGUGUAAAUGUCACUGCAGUUAAGUCAAGCUGGUACCUGGGGAACACAUAAUGGGCAAUAUGCACAUGUUUAUAAUACUGUAUGUAUGGCUCUGUAAUGUACGUGUGUGUUUUGUUUAACCUCCAUAAACCUUGGAUUGGGUGUCAAACCCCCGUACUGAUGAAAAUGUGCCUGCAUAAAGGCUCAUUCAGAUUCUUGUUUACUUCGUUUCCGGUCAGUUGUUGUAAGUGCUUUGUUUAGAUUGUAUUUAUUUUUCUGUCUUAUGCGCCCCAUGAACCCCAUGAAUACCUGUACCAAAUUGCAGGGCAAUACAGCAAAUACAACACAAACCUUCACAAAAAAAAAAUAAAUGUCAACCUCAUGGUGGCAAAAACAAAACAAAAAAAUCAUGUCAAUGCAUCCAGUAGUUGUUGAUAUAUAUUUCAGUUUGAGGCAGAAUAUUGGACCGACCCACUUGAGUGACAUUACCACCCCAUUAUACAGCGGUAGAUUAAAAGAAAAAUUAUAAGGUACAUUUUUUUAUUAUUGCAGCAGGAUGUUGUGCCGUAGCGGGCUAACGCCUUGGCUUCACGGAAUGACUUUAACUAACUGUUACUAAUGGAGGCGUGUUUAUGACUAUGUAAGGAGUUGACUGGGCCACUUGUGGUGCAGAAACGUUGGCCUUGUGUUCCUCUGUGCCCAGACACUUCCCUCAGGCAAAAAAGUGAGGUUGGCAGUGCCCAUAGUAAAUCGUUGUGUGUGUGUGUGUGUGUGUGUGUGUGUGUGUGUGUGUGUGUACGUGUACGUGCACACCUACGUGUUUGCCCGACUGCUGCUCCGUCCGCUCCUCGCCAAGUCUCCUGCCGUCUCCCCCCUUCGCUUUAAUGGCGUCAGGUUUUUGCAUUUUACAAGCUUGUCUGUAUUCCGUAGAGAGUUUAAUUUCAUUAUUUAUUUUCCUUGGUAAAUGACUAAUGAUUUUGUGGACGUGUAAUGGCGGGUGUUUGUCUAUACCUCUGGGCCCCUGCGUUUCCCUGUCGAACAAUUAAAGUGACACACCUUUCAAUUGUGCGUAAUUAACUUUGUAGUCCACACAGGAUGCGGGCCUCGCCUGGUCUUGCUCGGUACAAUG